AACACAUGUCCCUACCAGGAGUUAUCAAUGGCUGGUCAUCGUAGACCGUGUACGCGAUCCUACACACGUAUGGUCAAAGUAUGGAGACCAAACUGUGGAUACUCAAAUCAGUGGUGCGUUGGCUACGAGAGAAGAACGGCCUACUACACGUCGUACCGCAUCGUGUACGAGAGGACUUACGAGACAAAAUACAAAUGCUGCCACGGCUGGUCCAGGCUCAACGGCGAGGCAGGCUGCCAAUAUCGUAAGU